rnacentral:rRNA from 1 species
UGGGGAAUAUUGCACAAUGGGCGCAAGCCUGAUGCAGCCAUGCCGCGUGUGUGAAGAAGGCCUUCGGGUUGUAAAGCACUUUCAGCGGGGAGGAAGGGCUACUAGUUAAUACCUAGUGGCAUUGACGUUACUCGCAGAAGAAGCACCGGCUAACUCCGUGCCAGCAGCCGCGGUAAUACGGAGGGUGCAAGCGUUAAUCGGAAUUACUGGGCGUAAAGCGCACGCAGGCGGUUUGUUAAGUCAGAUGUGAAAUCCCCGAGCUCAACUUGGGAACUGCAUUUGAAACUGGCAAGCUAGAGUCUUGUAGAGGGGGGUAGAAUUCCAGGUGUAGCGGUGAAAUGCGUAGAGAUCUGGAGGAAUACCGGUGGCGAAGGCGGCCCCCUGGACAAAGACUGACGCUCAGGUGCGAAAGCGUGGGGAGCAAACAGG